rnacentral:rRNA from 1 species
GCAUGCCUUACACAUGCAAGUCGAACGGUAACAGGUCUUCGGGUGCUGACGAGUGGCGAACGGGUGAGUAAUACAUCGGAACGUGCCCGAGAGUGGGGGAUAACGAAGCGAAAGCUUUGCUAAUACCGCAUACGAUCUCAGGAUGAAAGCAGGGGACCGCAAGGCCUUGCGCUCACGGAGCGGCCGAUGGCAGAUUAGGUAGUUGGUGGGAUAAAAGCUUACCAAGCCGACGAUCUGUAGCUGGUCUGAGAGGACGACCAGCCACACUGGGACUGAGACACGGCCCAGACUCCUACGGGAGGCAGCAGUGGGGAAUUUUGGACAAUGGGCGCAAGCCUGAUCCAGCCAUGCCGCGUGCAGGAUGAAGGCCUUCGGGUUGUAAACUGCUUUUGUACGGAACGAAAAGACUCUGGUUAAUACCUGGGGUCCAUGACGGUACCGUAAGAAUAAGCACCGGCUAACUACGUGCCAGCAGCCGCGGUAAUACGUAGGGUGCGAGCGUUAAUCGGAAUUACUGGGCGUAAAGCGUGCGCAGGCGGUUAUGUAAGACAGAUGUGAAAUCCCCGGGCUCAACCUGGGAACUGCAUUUGUGACUGCAUAGCUAGAGUACGGCAGAGGGGGAUGGAAUUCCGCGUGUAGCAGUGAAAUGCGUAGAUAUGCGGAGGAACACCGAUGGCGAAGGC